rnacentral:rRNA from 1 species
GAUGAACGCUGGCGGCAUGCCUAAUACAUGCAAGUCGAACGAGAGGAAGGAAAGCUUGCUUUCCUGAAUCUAGUGGCGAACGGGUGAGUAACACGUAGGUAACCUGCCCAUGUGCCCGGGAUAACUUCUGGAAACGGAUGCUAAAACCGGAUAGGUAUCAGACAAGCAUUUGACUGCUAUUAAAGUGGCCUUGGCCAUGAAAAUGGAUGGACCUGCGGUGCAUUAGCUAGUUGGUGAGGUAACGGCCCACCAAGGCGACGAUGCAUAGCCGGCCUGAGAGGGCGGACGGCCACAUUGGGACUGAGACACGGCCCAAACUCCUACGGGAGGCAGCAGUAGGGAAUUUUCGUCAAUGGGGGGAACCCUGAACGAGCAAUGCCGCGUGAGUGAGGAAGGUCUUCGGAUCGUAAAGCUCUGUUGUAAGAGAAAAACGGCACUCAUAGGGAAUGAUGAGUGAGUGAUGGUAUCUUACCAGAAAGUCACGGCUAACUACGUGCCAGCAGCCGCAGUAA